AUGAUUUUACAAGACUUCAUCCUUGGGCCAAAUGUCCCACUUCUCCUUUCUUCUUCCCUACACUUCAGCUACAGUCUAACCAGCCUAAAGGACAUCACAUAUGUGCCCACUUCAGCCAUUAAAGUCUGCUUUGGGACACCGUGUCAGAUUGGACAAUCUGAAGAAGAAGGAAUUGAAGCACACACUUUUGCCUGUCUGGAAGACAAGUCUCCCAGAAUAUACCUUUUCCUACACUCAUAUGACACAAGUCCAGAAAAGGACCUCAAGAGUGUGAAAAAACAAAGUUAAGCUUGAAUAUGAAUGUAACGAAAGCAGUGACACUGAAGAAAGUUUCUUCCAGGCAUCUGCAAAGACUUAUGGAUCAGACAAUGAUGUUAUCGGAGGUAUGAAGUCAGAAAUACUUUACCAGUUUGAAAUGUGCAUGAAAGAUAAGACAUGGUUAGCACUGCUGAUGAUUUUUAGAUUUUUUUCAUAUGGGAAUAAUAUGUGUAUAAUAGCAUCUGAAACAUUUGGAUACGUUGAUCUGCAUUAGUGAAUUAAUAGAUACUUCCAUUAUGAAAACUGCUAGAGGCAGAAGCAGAGGCUCUUAUACUAACAGAUGAUGUACUUUAAAGAGCCCAAGAGCAAUGGAUAACUGAUUUAGAGGAUAUCCUUAGACUGAUUAUUAUGACAAAAAUAUGUUUGAGGCAGCUCCAAUAGACGAUAUACUGAUGAUCUCUGGGCUGGGUGACACAAAGGCGAUGUUAAUGAGCUAAAGCAGCAAUAACAACCUCACUUCACACAAUGAGCCACAGGGUAUAUUUGAAAAAUUUCCAAGCAUUAGUGCUUGGUUUAUGUGCAGGCACACACAGACCAAGAAGGGCAGAGGCAGCCACUGGCUCUCCUCACCCUCCCUGUGGCUGGCUGAAGAGCACACAACUCUGCCAGCAGAUUUUGAAACUGCUCAAGGUGGUCAAGAGUGCUACGCCUUUUGUUUUAUUAAGCUGCUAAAACACACUUCUGGAGUCAAACAUUUCGUUUCAUCUUCACAGGCAAGCAGAAAGUGCAAAGAUGUAACCCCUGUGAAAAGCCUGUUUUCCUUCCUGAAACCUCACACCAGGGUGAAAUAAAGCAGCUGAGUGAACAGAUGGAAAAAAGUAGGAAUACUACUGGUGAUAAAAGUGCCAGUAUACAAAAUUCCUUUCAAAAGAGGAUUAUAAGAAACAGUGCCACUCCAGUGAGAUAACUGAACACCCUGGGCUGGGUGUUUCUGAGCCAAAGGAGGCUCUCUGCGCGAAAUCAAAGAAGCUUAAGACCCACUUGUGUCUGUAUGAGUAUGGUAGGUGUUGACCACACAGGCUCUGUUAUGUGUGGAAGGUGAUUCCCAUCACAUAACAGAGAUACCUCUGGGAGAAGCAACACAGCUCACAGCCUUGUUUAACCUAGUGACUAUAUAUAUGAAUGUGCAGAAUAGACCAAGAUUUUCCCCAAGGUGUGGGAAAAAUUCAAACUUAAAAAUUAGGGGACUUCUACAGCAUAUGCUGAGGUGUCUCCCUUCUUGGCUUAACCAUAUUGAUUCCUAGCAUCCUAAUCCUGAUUAAGAUACU
ensembl:lncRNA